rnacentral:rRNA from 1 species
UACGUAGGGUGCAAGCGUUGUCCGGAAUUAUUGGGCGUAAAGCGCGCGCAGGCGGUCUUCUACGUCUGGGGUGAAAACCCGGGGCUCAACCCCGGGACUGCCUUGGAUACGGGAAGACUUGAGGAUCGGAGAGGCAAGGGGAAUUCCACGUGUAGCGGUGAAAUGCGUAGAGAUGUGGAGGAACACCUGUGGCGAAGGCGCCUUGCUGGCCGAUUUCUGACGCUGAGGCGCGAAAGCGUGGGGAGCAAACAGG